rnacentral:lncRNA from 1 species
UUUUUUUGGUCUGUUCUAGAAAGAAUGAACUCUUUCUAAAUUUGGUAACAAUUUAGCUUAAACUUACAACUGUACCCUUAAUCUAAAGUGUUUUUAACCACACAAAUACUUUGAGCCCCAUGUACAUGUAGGCUUGUUUAGGACAAUAAAUUUUAAAAGUCUUUUUUUUUUAAACUCCGUGUUCGAUCAAACAGACUCAAAUAAAUUGAAACGGAGGAGUAUAAAAUAAUCAAGGACUUGUUAUAGGUCAACUUAACUUAAUGGUAAAAAGAAUUAUGCAUUCACAGCUCACAUAAUUUAACAUAUUGUAUGGAGUCUUUACUACAAUUGUCAUUUGA